rnacentral:lncRNA from 1 species
AAACACGAGCGCCGCGCGGGGCCGGGGCCGGCUCCGUCCUGGGGCUAAGCCUGCGUGCCGGCCGUGAAGAAGUGCGUUCCUGAGCCCUACCUACUUUUCCUCGGAGCGCUGGCACCGUGGAGCAGCGGCAUGCAACGCGGGCCGCUGUCCCCCAGUCCUAGUGACGGUCCUGGCGCGCUCGGAACUACGUAUCCCGGCGUGCACUGCGGGCAGGGCACGGCGGGACUACGAGUCCCAGCGUUCAACGCAGGCCUGCGUGCCAUUACCCCGUCACGCGCUGAGACCAAGCCUCCUGAGACUACGAGUUCCGGCAUACACCGCGAGCCGCUCUCCUCGACUCCCAUCGCGCACUGGGAAGGCGCCCAGUAGCACAAUCUGUCCUGGCCAUGCUUGUCCACCGAACUGCAACUCACAUUCUGCAGGUCCUGGAGCCGAAGAAAGACCCCCAGAGGAAGCUCCCGGCCACGCACAGGUCCUGGGGCCCAGGCGAGGCAGCCGUCACCACUUCACAGCAUCCGACAGACAAUGCCGGCAAAGCCCAGCCUGGUAAAGAGGGAGAGAAGGAACCAGGUUUUGGCAAGAGAGGUGCCAUGGUUUUCCCAGAGGACGCAGUGGAAGACUUCUGAAGGGCCAGGUUCCUCCUCAGGGCGGAGGGGGCAGCACUGACUGGGCUGAGACCAAGCUUGGGAGGAGCAGGUGCGGCUGGAGGCCCUGCAGGGUCUUGGCUGAGUCCGCAGUUUUAAAUCAGAACGGGAGCUCCGGGCCUGUCAUCGUCCUCAUGGGCGGAAGGAACCCACACAACGUGGUCUGUCCUACAGUGGAAUAUUCAGCUUUGGACAAGGAAGGAACAUCUGACCCAGGCUAUACCAUGGAUGAAUCUUGGGGGCGUCAUGCCCAGUAAAGACAAUCACGCUCGGGACAGCAGACACCAGCGUGGCAGAGCUGGGUUCUCCUCCUGGGGGCCCAGGCUGUGAGGAGCAGCCAGCCAAACUUCCUUAAGGCAAAACACAUGCUUUUUUCCUUUUUUUUUUGCAUCAAACUUACCAAGAAAUAUCUCUACCCAACUUUACUGAAACUUUAAAGCUUGUAAAAACUUUU